GGAACAAGAUAUAGAUAUGAACCUACUACCUCACUAUGGUGAUCGAGUAGCUACGAUGAUUAUUGCUGAGUCUAUUACAAAUAAUGAUGAUUCAAUGACAAAUGUUAUUAUCGAGAAGCAGAAGGCUGAACAUGAAAUCCUACCUGAUAAUGAUCUUACAGUACGUGCUCUCCAACAUAACCCCAAGUUGGACAUGGUCUGGAGGCAUGUGUAGUAGCUAUCAAAGCAUUAAUAGGGGUUUCUACGAUACGGACCAGAGUGCUAUGCUGCGGAAACAGAAGUCAAUCGAGCUUAUCUCAAAUCUACCAAAGCAGUCAUCUUUUCUGAUAAAGAUAUUGAGGUAAUAAAUCC
rnacentral:lncRNA from 1 species